GAGAUGUGUGUACGUGUGUGUACGUGUGCGUACUUGUGUGUGUAUAUAUAUGUAUGUAUAUAAAUAUAUAUAUACAUAGAGA
rnacentral:miRNA from 1 species